AUCUUCUUCAUAGCAGAUUUUCUUCCAAUGCAGAAAAGAGUUUUGUCAAUUAUAUCUUACAAUGUAGAGACUUUUAUUUUGUAUUUUUUAAUCCAAAAUUAUUUUUUUUUAUGUUCUCUGCUAAACAUCAACUAAAUAACUAAAUAAAUUAAUUAAUGGAAAUACAGUAGCUUUCCUGUCCACCGAACAGAGAUUGGUUUGUGUUCUGAGCUCUGAAUGUUUGCAAGUGUUCACUGAUAGGCCGUAUCAGAGCUGCAGUGUUUGAGGAAGGGAAGGCAGUUUUGCAGAACUUGCUGAAAGGUUACAUAAGGCACAAUUGUGAUUACGCUGUUUGAAUUCUGUUGUGUACAAAGCGUAUUUACACUGACUUCCAGAAAGGCAAACUUCCAUAACAAUUGUCUAUAUAUGCCACAUGAAGAACAAAGGAGUUACUGACCCAUUUGUGCGUGCUGGGUCGGAAAUGCUAGAAGUGUCUAUUUCUAGUAAAUGGUAGCUGGCUGUACCUGAGCCCGAUGUUUCCCAUUGCUGUGCAGUGUGAGACUCCUGGUGAACAAUUCCCCAGGCGUGGGAGGCUCAAAUCUCUGAAAAGGCUUAGCCAGAUCUUUUAGCAUCCUGUUUAAGAAGAGCAGAGAAGAGACAGACCUCAGUAUGCACUGCAUCUAUACAGGGCAAUAUGUAAAUGUCUCAAGGGCACUAGUUUUUCUCCCUCAGGAUGAAAUGUUAGAGCAAAGGACAGCCUUCCAGGUAAGCUGGCAAAGGAGUGGCAAUUAAAUGCAGAAGGCAAAAGCUGCUCUUUAGUACACAAGACAUUAUUAGAACAAGGGAGCAGCACUGGGCACACUGCAACACCCAGUAUGAACCAAGCAAGCUUGUAUGGUGGGAGUAUUUGAGGUGUGAGAUGCCAACACCACUCGAGUGAGAGCAGAUGUGUCCUGACAAUUUCCUGUAUGGUCACCUUCGUAAUAUACAGAUUGAUUUUGGAGUGCAGGCUGACUGGCCUCAACAGAAUUGAAAUUUCUGCCUUCCAGCUUACAGCCCUGUCUCCCAACUGCUGUCUGAGGCUGCCAGCAGGGAUUUAGUUCAAUGCUGAAAUCCUUGCAGGUGUGAGUCUGAAUAAUGUGCUAAACUAUGCAUGUCCGUGUGGCCGCUCAGGUGCGACACCAGUGCUACCUCAUGCUGGAGCUGGAAGAAUUAAGUGUCAUAGCCCGUGUAUACUUGCAGAUGGUCCUGCCAGGAGAGGUGGAGCUAGUGCCCUGCAGAGAGAGAGGAGAGAAUGCUGCAGAUGAGGUGGGAAAAUCAACAGCUAAAAUAUGAAAUGCUGUUGCCAGAUUUAGACAACUAGAAUAAAUUGCAAAAGGUGGCAAAGAACUUGUGACUACUUUGGGUUUGUGACCACUUUGCAUUUUGCUUGGGCUUUUGAAAUAUGAUGUCUCCAGGUUACUGAGAUUCCCUCAUUAUUUGACCAAGAGUUAAGUGAGGUCACAUAAGAGGAGAUGUGUAUCACUGCUUAGUUUUGCUGUGUGUCUGUGACAGAACAGACUCUUUGUCUUGAUUGCUGACUUCUUGCCCACUCUCCUGAUUUAUCCUAUUGGCAGGAAUGCAUGGCGCCAGUAAGCUGGCUCAAGACAGCUUUCUAACAAAAAUCUUUGGCUAAAAGGAGAGUCAUGUGGUGUCUGUAUUCCAUGUUUCUAUUGUCUGGCUUGUGCUAGAACUACUGGUGUCAGGAGUGUCACAGUCCCAGUGGCACCAAUGAUACCAGUGGUAGGUGAGAGGUGACAUCCUUUAGUGUUUUAUGGAGUAGCAAGGCAAGCUGGGAGUGGAGGGUGACAGUAAGGCAUGCAUGACAGUGGCUUUAUUAGCAAGUACCACAGCACCCAAGCAAGAAUAGCAAAGCAAUUCUGGUGGUGGCUAGAAGUUCAGCCAAGAGUAGAGAUCACCAGUAACCAUCCCAGUGAACACAGUGACAAGGAGAUCUGAGGUCAAGCCAGAAAAGCCAAGCCAGUGAGUCAGGGUCAGAAUCGGGUUCAGUGACAAUAACCAGGACCAACCAGCCACCAGUCUGGUCAUCAUCAGACAAGCCCACAGUGAUGGGAAGGAUCCGAGAUCAUCUCAGUUGGGUCAGGGUCUGGAUCAGUGUGUGUGGCCAGGCACAGCCAUACCUGUAACAUAGCUGAGGCAAGGACUGAGGGAGAGUGCUUCAGUGUAGGCACAGCUCUUGAGCAAAGUAGGUGGCCCUCGAUUCUUAGAGCUCUUUUUCACACAGCACUCUAAUCCAAGGUCACUCAGCUGCACCACGACAGAGCUGCCUUUGAGCACAGGCAGCUUAGUGCUGACUAAGCCCCCUAAGAAAAGGUGUCAUUAAGAACUUCACCCCAGCUGAGGGACAUACAUAUGUGACUGACUCAGUUUAUGUGGCUUAGUAUUUGUGUGCCAGGGUUUAUUUUAAAGACAUGUAAACCAUCAUAAUUUACGACCAGGUGGAGGCAUGGUCAAACAUACUCUCUGUACACUACUAAAUGUUGUAAAGAAUUCAGAAUUGAAUGAAUAAUAUAGAUCCUUUAUUCAAAUGGGUGUAUUUUCCUCCUCUUUUGACACAAUGCUCCUGUUAUCUUGGCAUACAAAAUUCUUUGGAUUUUCUUUUUCCUUUCUGCUGAGCCUUAAGACAUGACUGUCUUUGAACUUAAAAGAGGAUCUCAAGCUCAUCCAAACCUGGAAAAGGAGCCAUGCUAAGGCAUUCCUUGAGAAAAUAUUGUGAAAUACCUGUGUUUUUAGUGACCUGCCGGGACUGACAGGCCUUCAGAGUGUGUGCCUCGAAGCAGUGCCAUGGUCCUCUCUCUGGAACACUUAAUGCUACAAAUGCUGUCAGCAGUGACAUGUAGUCACACUGCUGAAAAUAAAUUGCCUAUGAUAAAUUACAGCCCCCUCAGUUCUGGCUACAGUUGCUACUGUGGAAUGCUUGCUUGGGGGUUGACUUGACUCUGCAGGCAGAAGGAACUCAUUCACUUCCUUUGCAUUGGUAGGGCACCCAGUCUUGUGUCUUGGGAGAAAAAAUAAGACUUAGAAGGGAAAGCUCAUGUCAGGUCUUCAUUGGAAAGGUGCUCAGAUGAAUGCAUGUAGUUCCAGGUGUGUCUGAUUAGUUCUCACAGAACUCCUCUUAUUUCUGAGAUAGGGAUUGCAAGUGACAUGAAUUUUUAGUGGGCAGCAGUAGCCAAGAGGUGCAGCUUUUUUCCCUUUGAAUGCUGGAACACAUAUUGGAGGGCUAAGCAGUUCCUGAUAUAAUAUUUCAGGAGUAUUACACUGUAGCAAAAAAUACACACCACCUGUGUUGGAGGUCUUUUCAGAUUUACAUUACUUACCUCAUGUCUUCUUGCUUAUAUUUUGGAAGCCUGAUCAGUUGUGGUCUAAGCACAUCCAAGAACCCCAAGUCCAGAAUAAAAUAAAUGUGAUGGCAGGCUCACUACUAGAGUUACUAUUAUUAGUUCCUGAGGGAGUUUUUGUCUUAACUGAUGGAUUAACGUCAGACACUGAGGGAAGCUCAUGAUAUCUCUAGGUGGCUGAAGUCCAAAGCUGUAAGGUGUAGGUGCACAGUUUGUGGAAAUUGGGAAUGGGGCUGCGGCUGAGCCUCAUCCCCAAUGGGCACAGCUGUGAGAAGCAGGUGAGCAGCACUGACAGCAAUGAGCCUGGAGUGCCCGGGGGCACUGACCAACCACGAAAAGGUAGAGAGGACACACAGGUGCAGUGGAUGAACAUGAGGGCUAUAAAAGGCUGGGCUAAAGAACAAGAAGGGCAGCUGCUGGAAGCCUUUUGAAGUUGUGUGGUGUUACUCUGUGUGGGCUGAUGCUUGAAGCCUUCUGCAAUUGUGUGCAGCCCUGUGUGUAUGAACACACAGGAGACAUUUUGAAGGGAAAAGAAAGCAGUCAGGAAUGAAGUUUGAUUAUUUAUGGUGAGCAGAUGGAUUUAGAAAGUCUGCCUGCUGAGACAGAGGCAUGACUCUGCAAAUCAGGUUGUACUGAUAUUUACCUCCAUUUUCUGAGGCAGAUUCUUCGCUCCAUAUAUAUGAUUUAUUCAUGCCAAGCUUUCUUGGGCCUCAAUAAGAAUUUUUCCUGGCAUUUGACACAAUGACUCUGCAAUCAAUUUUAUGGUUUUGAUGAAGUAAUUUCUCUGCUGUUUGAAGAGCUCUUUCAGAGUAGGAAAAAAGAGAAUAUUUUGGGGUUUAAGCAGGUAAAUGCUUAAUGCUUUAACAAUUGAAAUUAUGCAUCAAAGUUCAAGGUGAGGUGCAAGGUUAGAAAUGUUUUUGAUUAACACUUCUGGAACAGAUAACCUGACAGUGUCCCUAUAUUUGCUGUUGUUUGGUAACUGUGGUAAAUGAAAGAAUAAUUAAUAAAUCUCCUGGAGUUCAGUAAAGGUGAAAUAAGAAAUACAGUAGGCAAUAAAUAAAUAAAUAUCUUCAGGUGCUGUUUUUACUGCAUACUCAACACAUUUCACUGCAAAAAAAAAAACCCAGUCUUUGCUGUGCUUUGCAAAGAGAGCAACUCCCCGAGGUGCACAGCUGAAUCCAGUGGGAUUCCAUCAUACCAAUAGAAAAUACAUUGAAUUUCUGCCCUUCUUUUGUGAACAAAAGCACGGUAAUCUGUCUGUAUUUCCUUCAUUCAUGCUGUAUUUUAGAUUUUUUAGAGUUUUGUCAUUGCUUUGGCUUGCUUGUGAGUUCAAAUAAAAUUUUAAUGAUUUAAAGAUGCACAAAACUACUCAAUGUUUCCCGACAUCCCACCUAUAUGCUUCAACUGCAAGCUUCACUAAUCCUCAGAAAUUCAUUGUGGGAGAGAUGGAGCGCUCGAUAGCUUUUUGAUCUCUUCCACAAUCGUUACUCCAUUCAUCAGCCAGCCAGCUGGCUGCAUCAGCUCCCUUUGGAGUGCCUUUCCCUGACUAAGCAGUGCUGCCAUAAAACUGCAUUGUAUCCCCGUUCUCUGCCCUUCCUCCACAGAUGUGACUGUUUCAAUGGGCAUACACAGUCCCUCAGCAAAGCUAAAAUACUGCUCUGCCAAGUUCCUCUUGGCCAAGAUACUUCCUGAUGCUGAUUUUGUUUUUUUCCUAAGAGCUUCUGCAAACCAUGUACCUUUCCCACUCCAAGGACAGAAUAUCUUUGGUUUACCCUGGCUGGCAACCUGCCAAUAUGGCAUCCAGGUUUCUGGAGUUAAGAAUGGUUUCCAUAUGAUCAGACAAAAUUAUUUUGGGAUCAAAAAAGUUUUGGCAGUGCACAUCACUCUAUGGGGCGUAGUCAUUUAUGCUUAACAAACAUUUUAAUUUAUAAAUGAACAUAAACCUCAGAAAUAUAAAACUUAACCUUUUAGCUGAGCUAAUUUUCUUUUCAUUGUGGAGUAAAGUAAAAUUCCUUGAUAAAAUGUUCUGUAGAAAUCCCUACCCCAUGCAAUGAACUAAGUAAUUUUUACCUGUAAAUCUAUUUUUAAUCCCACUAUCAAUUGCCAUGUGAAAUACAACUGGCUCUCAUGAAACUGCUCAAGAAUAACCAUGAUCAGAAUUUGGGCUUACUUUGAUAUUACUGCUAUUCAGAAUAAAAUAACCAAGGAUGCACUUCUUUUUGCUCUACUUAUGGCCUUCCUAGUUCAUGUGUCACAAUAAGAAGAUGGGCAAGAAAAAUUAGCACACAUUAGAGACAAGUGACCUAAUGAAGAAUUCAUGGGGAGGCACAGGAUGAGCAGGGACUGCACAAGAAGUGCACUGUGACAACCACGGUGCUGGGCGGGUGUCUGGUGUGAUUCAAGGCUGCUUACAGCAGUGAACAUCAGAUUUAUUGCUUUCUCAAAGAACAGAUGAGAAUGAAGGUACACAGAAAAUAUAAAAUAUUUAUCGUUUAUUUGUUUUUCCAUUACCACUAUAAAUGGCAGAUGUACCUGUGGGAAAACUCCCCCUAUCUUUGUCACAGGCAGAUGCCUGGGAGCAUUUGCAGGUGGAUCACAGCCUGAACAAAGCAUUUCAGUGAGCUCUCUGUGUGCAUAUGGAACAGGAGGAAUGCUGAAAGCACACAUGUUUGAGUGUAGUGGCUGUGCAAGUGAGGGUCAGAGCACGUUCCAAAAUGUUUCCACUGCACUUAUACUGCUCAGUAAUUUUAGCAUUAACCCCAACAAGGAAAUGGGAAAUAGGCUCAGUGAACAACAGGCUCACCCUUCCCUGAAGGUAUUUUGCACUAAUGGGGUAAAUGCUGUUUUGCUGUUGACUCUGUUAUACCUCUCCCCCUUCUAAAGAAGGGACCAGUGUUGCCAUGUUUUCCAGCCCAGCAGUUUUCCCAGGCACACAUUUUCAUCAACAUGCAAGAGUUAAUUCCAAGUGUUUGUUCUAUGCACAAAGUUGAGUUCCUACAGAUCAUUUCAAAUGAUCCUCCCAUGCAUCCUGGUCACCUGCUCACCAUCUCUGCACUCACUGUCCAGAUUUCUGCUGUAUCUCUUACUCUUUCUCUCAUUUCUGUACAUCACGUUUUCACUAAUUCCUCACUGGUGGUGGUGCUUUAUCUUCCUCUCAUGCCUCUAUAUUUUUGGCAGCCCAAGAGGCAACAUAUGCUCUGUGGGGUUCAGAGCUCCACGGGUGCUGCCCGUUGUGCCAGCAAGCGCAUGCUGUUCACGCAGCGGAGCCGUGCCUCCCGCAGGAGGAGGGCUGAGCUACCCUUUCCUCUCCUCCUCCGGGGUACUUCCUCAGCCCUCUCUACCAGUCACCUGCAUUUUUUUGAUCCUCGUAGGAACUAAAUAUCUUUGAGACUCCUACUUCUUUGGCAGAUUUGGUAAAAAUAGCAGGAUGGCUUCAGAAGUGUUUGCACAGUGGGAAGGCAGAUAGGAGGAGAGGCAGUCACUGCAAUUAUACUACUCCAAUUCCUUUGAAAAUAGAACUUAAAAAUUAAUUACUUUGGAAAAUGGAUCAUAAGGAACUGGACUCAGUACCCUCUCCUUUUGUCUGCCUACCAGAUUUCUUGUCUCUCAUCCUGACUUUGUAUCACAAGAUCCACAAGGCAAGAAACAUAUUUUGCUCUCUGUUUUCUCUAUUACCAUAAAGAAUCAAUGUAGUAACAGAUAGAAAUACACAGGACUUAGCAAUAUUUUUUUCUAUAUGGCAAUUGCUUCUUACAACGCUGUUUUAAAAGCCCCAGCACAUGGAGCCAAUGAACUCAGAACUGCAAUAUGAUGAAGAUGCUGCAAGAUGCCCCUUGAUCUCUUCCCCCAACUGCUCUUUUCCCCACCCUAUACCUUUUUGGUUUGGUUUGGUUUUGGUUGGAGUUUUUUUUGCUGCAAUGACCUUCUGUCACUCAGCAUGCCAGGUCUCAAUUCCAAAUCUGUUGUCAUGGAGAUUUGGGCCAGCACUCCUCCGGGACUGUGUGCCUCUCUCAGCCAUCCCAGUGACAAUUCCUGAGCAAACCUGGAGCAUGGUCCCCAGCAAUAUCUGCCUGCAACACGAAGCCUGCUGGCACCACCAGGGAAGCACCUGGUGAGUGUAAUGCAGGGAGACAAACUCUGAAUUGUUAAAAACCCAGGGGUUUUCCAGAUUUCCCUGCAAAUCUGCAAGCUAAGCACAGGAGGUCACCCUCUGGCUGGCUGCACUGCUGCAGCAUUGUUAUAGUGAAAUAAUAAAGCAAGAAGGGCUGUUUUCAUAAUAUCUCUAGGGGGUCUGAAGAAGAUGAAGUGGCUGAAACUUUGCCUUGAUAUUCUCAUUGUCAAGGGAGAGUGAGGAUGAGUGACACCGUAAAAUAAUGAGUGAGCUUAGAGUUAAAUUUUCUUUCUUUUCAGUUUGAGCAGUAGGAUAAGUGAUUGAUAUUCUUACAUGUUACGAGGGGGACAGAAAGACAGGGGUUAGCUCACAAAUGAAGAAAAGACAGUCUUAAAUAUCUCAUCAAGAUGAAUAUAUGAAGAACACUGUAAACAGAUAAGAGUAAGCCUCUUCUCAGUGGCUUGAAAUAUGGCAAUAUUUACGACUGCUCUUUAGCAAAUUUGCCUGUCUCAGGUAGCUUGUCAAAUGAAAAUUAAAAUUUCUCUUUUUCAAAAGUAGUAGGCUAGAGCUAUGAUGCUGAAUCACCAUUUCCACUCUUCUGUUCCUGUGUUGAAGGUCUUGCCUGCUCCUUGCAUGUUAAUCCAUUCCUCAAAUCCACAGAACUCAUUAUGUUCUGCCUGUAAUCCAGCCCUGAGGCGACAGAGGAUAUUGCUGUUUGCACCUGCUAAAGCAGAAAUGAACCGGAGCUAGGGAGUUUCCCAGAAGCUUUGUUUCUGUUUUUAUGCACUUCGGAUACCUGCUGUUACCCUUAGUUUGAACCAAAUAACUGUGAUGUUUGGCAAGAGGGCAGAUAUAGAUAUCACAUGAGAAAGGCCAAGGGCUCAGCCAUCUAGCUGCAUGGUAUUAUUGGUGUUGGCCCUUGCAAAGUUACCCCUCAAGACUCUCUGAAUACCAAAACUGCCCUAGGGGAAGCUGGAGACCCCUGAGCAAAUUCCCAUCUCCUGCAUGGGAGCCCAGCAGAGUGGACAAGGUCUGCCUCAAGCUAGAUCAUAGUAUGGGAAGAUGUAAAGUCCUGCCUGACUAUGAAUUAGAGAGGGUGGGAGGAGCUGAUGUGCUCUUUGUUCAGUGUGAACAAGGGGGACUUCUCAAGGGACUUUCUGGGUGUGCUGGCCCUUCCCAGCACUG